UCGAGUAGCCGGAUACCCGCGUUUAUUUGUGAGUUUUCUUCGCGCAUACAAAGAGACAAAUUUUCGCCAUGAAUUCGAUAAUGCAUCGGACAAUUCAACAACGUGGUGCCUGUAAGGGGCAAUUAACGCGCACCCUGAACAGCGCCACGGACUUUGCACAGAGAUGUGAUUGUGUGCAGACAUUGCAACAUAAACUGGAGCGUUUGGUUGCCACUUUCAACCACUUCAUGGAGCUCUCCGAUGACUUAGUGGAGUUCAACCUGGAGGAUGGGUACGAGGACCCUGGUUUGGAUAUACCGGAAUACGAAGAGAAGUUCUACAGUGCCCACGCUAUUUUUAGUAAAGCCAUAAAAGAAAUGGGAGGUCAAGAUUACGGCCAAGACCAGUCUAACCUUUUGAUCUCAAGUACAGUGGAACGUCUAUUUGAGGGACAGAAUCAGCUUUUGGAACAAAUCCAUACCUCUUCGAGUGCAACUGAUUUAAGGUUCGAGAAAAUUCGGAUUCCCACCUUUUCUGGUAAAUAUGAAGACUGGAGCCAGUUUAGUGAUUUGUUUUUGAGCUCAGUGAAUAACAACGAGAAGCUUUCUAAGUGCCAAAAAUUCCAUUACCUGAAAUCUUAUCUGGAUGGUGAAGCUCUGUCGUUAAUUAAACAUAUCGCCGUUUGUAACGAUAAUUACCAAGAUGCAUGGGAGAAAUUGGAAAAUCGUUAUAAUAAAAAAUCGCUUAUUGCUCGAUCUUUUGUGCAGAAUUUUCUGUCGCUGCCAACCGCUAAUAAUUUGAAUAUCGCUGAGUUACGCAAAAUUGUGGAUUCUGCCGACGAAUGUAUACGAGGCCUACACGCGCUUAAUUGUGACAGCCGCGAUGUAUGGUUAAUUCAUAUUCUGCUAUCAAAGUUAGGUUCUGAAGUCAAGCAAGCUUGGGCCAAUUGUAGUAUGUCGUCCAAGGAAGACGUCACCAUAUAUGAUUUAUUCACUUUUCUCUUCGCUCAUUGUGAUACUUUGGAGUCUUGUCAGGAUUUACACGCAUUGCAGCCGUCAAGACCAGCCCAGAGUAGACGCCGCCAAGUCACCUAUCAUGCAAGUGGAUCAAAUCAACCGCCCCGCGAAUGUAUAUAUUGUCAAGGACAGCACAAUAUAUAUUCAUGUACUGAAUUCCAAGCCUUGGAUGUCGGAAGCCGCCGCACCUUUGUCAGGGAUACUAAGUUAUGCUUCAAUUGUCUAAGUAGGUCGCAUCAAGUUUCGGAUUGUAAUUCUUCAAAUACUUGCCGUCAGUGCAACGCGAGACAUCAUACUCUAGUACAUCCGGAGGAGUCAAGAUCAAUUCCUUCGGCUUCCGCCCAGAUGUCUGCCGCUGAAUUAAAUACAACUUCUUCCUUUGAUCAUGCUGCUGACAUGAAUACUGCCGCUAUCAGCCAUCAUACUGUGGAGAGGGCUAACAAUCAAGCCCUACUGCCAACCAUUCUGGCCAAUGUUAUUGACGCAUGUGGCAACACCACCUCAUGUAGGUUAUUGCUCGAUACUGGAUCAACAAUAACCAUGGUAUCCGAGUCCUUUAUCCAAAGGAUCGGAAUUUCUCGCUCGCAUGCUCGCAUUUCGGUAGUUGGUUUAGGUGCUAGCCCGGCAGGCGUGAGCCGAGGUCGCGCUACCUUCACCCUGCUGUCAAGGACCACUACUGCAUCAGUGGAGGUCACCGGUUUAAUUAUGAGUUCUCUGACUUCUCUGCUUCCAGCUCAGCAGGUCAAGUCCAGCUCUUCUAUAUGGAACAAGAUUCGCCGCUUACCGCUAGCUGACCCGACGUUUGGAGCUCCGGGAAAAAUCGACGUAAUCUUAGGCGCUGAUCAGCUGUGGAACAUAUACACUGGACAUCGCCGAGAGUUUGGUAUCGAAUACCCCAUCGCACUACAUACUAAUUUUGGUUGGGUAAUUACAGGCAGUUAUUCUGAUUGCAACGAAGCAUCUACGCAAGCCCAAGUUCACCACGCGUACGAAGACUUGGACUCCUUGGUCCGAUCAUUCAUGGACAUGGAACAAGUGCAUCCGACCAAAGCGACUAUUGAUGCUAGUGAUCCUGCAGAACAACAUUUCCUUAAAACGCAUGCUCGUACAGAAGAUGGUGUCUACAUUGUUCAGUACCCAUUUAAGGAGCCCAUCAUGCCAAUUGGAUCUACGUUGCCACAAGCUUUAAAUCGCUUCGCCGCAUUAGAAAGGAAAUUUCGAAAAUUCCCCGCACUCAAACAACAAUAUGUUGAUUUCAUGGAGGAUUACCUGAGAAGAGGACACAUGGAAUUGAUACCUGCAACCGCCGCUGGUGAGGAUCCAGCACGCUAUAAUUAUUUGGCACACCACGCAGUGUUUAAGCCAGAUAGCACUACCACACGUUGCCGAGUCGUAUUUGAUGGCUCAGGAAAUGACUCCAAGGGUCAUUCGCUUAACUCCCGACUGCACAUAGGCCCACCUAUUCAACGGGAUCUGCUUGGAGUAUGCCUUCGCUUCCGUCAGCAUCGUUACGUCUUUUGCGCUGAUAUCGAGAAGAUGUUUAGAGGGAUCUUGGUAGCAGACGAACAUACGCAUUAUCAACGAAUAGUUUGGAGAAAGGAGGAAACCGCCACGCUGGAUCAUUAUCGAUUGCUGACAGUCACAUAUGGAUUAGCUUCAUCGCCGUUUAUAGCUGUUCGAGUCCUGAAGCAGCUCGCCACCGACUAUGCCGAAAUGUAUCCGAACGCUGCUGUCGUUCUUAAUAGAGACGCUUACGUUGAUGAUAUUCCUACUGGAUGCGACAAAGUGGAGGAUCUCAUCGCACUCAAAGAUGAGCUGAUUCUGCUUCUGAGUGAAGCUCACUUCAACCUUCGAAAGUGGAGUUCAAACUGUUGCGGCUUAUUAAAGUCUUUGCCAAAGGAGAUUUGUGAGUAUCCACCAAACGCUUUAGAAAACGACAGCCCUUUUCGAUUUGUUAAAGUUCUGGGAGUAUGUUGGGAACCUAAAACUGAUCACAUCUUCUUCAAGCUGUCACCUCCUGGAAUUACAACUGCUCUUACGAAACGCAUUUUGCUAUCAGAGCUCGCCAAGAUUUACGAUCCGCUGGGUUUGCUUGCGCCCACCACUGUUUUUCUAAAGAUUCUAUUUCAAGAUAGUUGGCUCAGCUCUGUCGAAUGGAGUGAGGUAUUACACCCCCAUUUAUGUUUCCGAUGGCAACAAUUUGUAUCUGAAAUGCAUUUAUUGGAAACUUGUCGAGUUCCUCGCUACAUUUCAACACCAAGUCAAGCAAUUGAGCUACACGGAUUUGCGGAUGCUUCAUCUCAGGCAUUUGCGGCCGUCAUCUAUAGUCGUUUCAAAGUCAACGCUGGAUACGCAGUCAACUUGAUAAUGGCCAAAACUCGAGUCGCACCUAUUAAGCCCAUAUCCAUUCCUCGCCUUGAGUUAAACGCAGCACAUUUGCUUUCUAAAUUGAUUUCUCUGGUCAAGCAAUCAUUAACUAUUCCUAUUUCCAGAAUCAAUUGUUGGUCAGACUCCGAAAUAGUCCUGCAUUGGCUAUCAUCUCCUCCUCGGACAUGGAAUACAUAUGUUUGCAAUCGCACUGCUGAGAUUUUAGACGGUUGUCCAAGAAGCUGCUGGCAACAUAUUCGAAGUGAAGAUAAUCCUGCAGAUUGCGCUUCCCGAGGUAUAUUACCAAAGGACCUCGUCGAUCAUCAAAUCUGGUGGAAUGGACCCGCUUGGCUAUCUCAGUCACGUUCAGCUUGGCCACCCGCUAAGGCUAAGUUUGCUUUGUCGACAGAAGAAGAGGCAUGUCUGGAGGUAAAGGCCGAACACAAAGUUAAUCUACACAUUUCCGACGACGGAAAUUCGCUCAACUGUAUGAUCAACAAAAUCUCCUCAUGGUCUCGCUUAAUAAGGAUACUCAGCUACUGCUUUCGCUUCGUCCAUCGUUUUCGUGGAAGGACUCCACUCCAACCGUUCCUAGCAGCGUGGGAGCUACAAUAUGCACGAUCCAGGAUAUUUGCGCACGUUCAGAAAGAGUUCUUUAGCAUGGAAUAUACUCAGUUGAGCACCGGACAACAAUUAUCAAAGAAGUCCAAGUUAAUCCGCUACACGCCCUUCUUAGACGAGCAAGGAAUAAUGCGUGUUGGUGGUCGCAUAGACAAUUCGCUGGCUAAUUAUGACGCAAAACAUCCCAUAAUUCUGCCUAAGGAAUCUCCAAUCGCCGCUACACUAAUUCUAUAUCAACACUCUGCCUUGCUACACGCUGGUGUCGAAUACACCUUUCAUAGUUUACGACAACGCUAUUGGAUUCUAGGAGCUAGAAACCUCGUCCGCAAAACUGUAUUCAAUUGCCGAACUUGCUUCUUGCAGCGAAGACACACGGCCUCUCAACUGAUGGCAGAUUUACCAGAGUUUCGAGUUCAACCUGCCCGCUGUUUUCUUCACACUGGUUUGGAUUAUGCUGGACCUGUAUCGAUCAAAAUAUCUACAGGUCGGACGCCAAAGUUUGGAAAGGCUUGGUUUGCUAUCUUCGUUUGUCUAUCUACAAAGGCAAUACACAUUGAGCUGGUCAGUGAUCUGACAACAUCUGCAUUUAUUGCCGCUUUUCAACGCUUUUGGUCCCGCCGUGGGCCCAUCUCAGACUUGUACUCAGACAAUGGCACAACUUUUCAUGGAGCUAAAAAAGAGUUAGCGGAAAUGCAACAGAUCGCAAUUUCCCAAAGUCAAAACGAAGAGAUUUCGAGUUUCUUGUCGACUCACGAAGUUAAUUGGCACUUCAUCCCGCCCUCUGCACCCCACUUCGGAGGCAUUUGGGAGACUGGUGUGCGAUCUAUUAAACUGCACCUGAAACGAGUUGUUGGCAGCAGCGCACUCACAUUCGAGGAAUAUUCGACCCUGCUCAUACAGAUUGAAGGACUUCUGAAUUCUCGUCCUUUGUGCGCACCCAGCGACCACAGCCUUAAUCCGCUAACCCCUUCUCAUUUUCUAACAGGUCAGCCUCUCACUUCGGUACCAGAGCCAUCUCUCCUGGAUGUAAACAUCAACAGACUGCAGCGCUGGAGGGAACUGCAGGCCAAGGUCCAAGGGUUCUGGAAACGCUGGAAUUUAGAGUAUCUCAACACACUUCAAGCUCGCACGAAAUGGCAACAAGACGCUCAGGACAUUGCCAUGGACACCCUGGUUGUGCUGAAGGAGCCAAAUCAACCGCCAAGCAAGUGGUUGUUGGGACGAGUCGUAGAAGUGCAUCCUGGCCAGGAUCAGAGGGUCCGUGUCGUCACAGUGAAAACCGCUAGAGGAACCUACAAGCGACCUAUUACGAAAAUUGCUGUGCUUCCUUUGAACUGAACAGUCGUUCAGGGGGGCCGGUAUGUUGAGAAAUAGAUAGGCCAUUUUCAUUACUUCUUUACUUGUUCUUAAUUUCUUAUAAUUGCACCUAGUUAAUUGCGCAUCACUGUAUUGUUUACUUUAUGAAAGCUUAAAAGCUCACACGCAUAGCCGAAAAUGCAGCUUUUGUCUAUGUAUUAGCGCAUCACGCGAUCUUUGCAUUUUUUGUUCUUUUCUGCACGCUGUUCGCCGCUAGUUCUAUUGCUUCUGUAUACUUGACCGCAACCGCACGCAAAUCGCUUAUCAAGUUUUGUACAGUAACGCAACCGCUUACCGCCCGCAACCCGCUUACCGCCCGCAACCCGCUUAUAAUUUUCGCUCCAAUAGCGAAAGCGAGAGCGUGCGCAGCGAUCCGCGAAGCACAAUUUCAUCCUAGUCAUCAUUGUAAUUGUUUAUUGAUGAGCAAGGAGAUGGGAUGGCGGAGCUCAAGCGGAUGGCAGUGAUCGGAUCUUGGCUCCGGGCUGGUUGAAGCCCAGCAGGCGUAAAGUAUUGGAAUAUUUAUAAAUACAUUUUAAAUGUGUAAAUGUAUAUGAUGGAACAUACAAAUUUGAAUCAAUAAAAAAAGGGAAAUCAAUGUGGAA